rnacentral:rRNA from 1 species
UACAGAGGGUGCGAGCGUUAAUCGGAAUUACUGGGCGUAAAGCGCGCGUAGGCGGUUUUGCAAGUCGGGUGUGAAAUCCCCAGGCUUAACCUGGGAACUGCAUUCGAGACUGCAUUACUAGAGUAUGGGAGAGGGAAGUGGAAUUUCCGGUGUAGCGGUGAAAUGCGUAGAUAUCGGAAGGAACAUCAGUGGCGAAAGCGACUUCCUGGCCUGUUCUUGACGCUGAGGCGCGAAAGCGUGGGGAGCAAACAGG